CAACAGGGAUUGCCCCAGUAACGGCGAGUGAAGCGGCAACAGCUCAAAUUUGAAAUCUGGCUCUCGGGCCCGAGUUGUAAUUUGUAGAGGAUGCUUUUGGUGAGGUGCCUUCCGAGUUCCCUGGAACGGGACGCCAUAGAGGGUGAGAGCCCCGUCUGGUUGGACGCCGAACCUCUGUAAAGCUCCUUCGACGAGUCGAGUAGUUUGGGAAUGCUGCUCUAAAUGGGAGGUAUAUGUCUUCUAAAGCUAAAUACCGGCCAGAGACCGAUAGCGCACAAGUAGAGUGAUCGAAAGAUGAAAAGAACUUUGAAAAGAGAGUUAAACAGUACGUGAAAUUGUUGAAAGGGAAGCGCUUGUGACCAGACUUGGGCUUGGUUGAUCAUCCGGGGUUCUCCCCGGUGCACUCUUCCGGCCCAGGCCAGCAUCAGUUCGCCCUGGGGGACAAAGGCUUCGGGAACGUGGCUCUCUCCGGGGAGUGUUAU
rnacentral:rRNA from 6 species